ACUCAGCCCGCCUGCACCCAGGUGAAAUAUACAGCCUUGUUGCUCACACAAAGCCUGUUUGGUGGUUUCUUCACACGGAUGCAUGUGACAUUUGGUGCUGAAGACCCAGGACAGGAGGACUCCUUUGGGAGACCAGUGCCCUGUUGUCGCCCUCACUCCGUGAGGAGAUCCACCUAUGAUCUCAGGUCCUCAGACCAACCAGCCCAAGGAACAUCUUGCCAAUUUCAAAUCGGGUAAGUGGUCUUUUCACUCUUCUCCAGCCUUUCUUGCUACCCUUCAAUCUUCCUCUCUCACUACCCUUCAAUCUCCCUGUCCUUCCAAUUCCCGUUCUUUUUCCUCUCUAGUAGAGAUAAGGAGACACAUUUUAUCUGUGGACCCAAAACUCCAGCGUCAGUCACGGACUCGGGAAGACAGUCUUCCCUUGGUGUUUAAUCACUGUGGGGACGCCUGCCUGAUUAUUCACCCACACUCCAUUGGUGUCUGAUCACCACGGGGAUGCCUGCCUUGGUCAUUCACCCACAUUCCCUUGGUGACAAGUCAAUUGCGGGGACACCUGCUUUGGCUGCUCACCCACAUUGCAGCCCAGGGCUGCUCAAUGCCCCCCGCUGCCCCACCCGCCUUCUCCGUGCCUCUACCCUCUCUUUUCUCGGGUUUACCUCCUUCACUAUGGGCAACCUUCCACCCUCCAUUCCUCCUUCUUCUCCCUUAGCCUGUGUUCUCAAAAACUUAAAACCUCUUCAACUCACACCUGACCUAAAACCUAAGUGUCUUAUUUUCUUCUGCAACACCGCUUGGCCCCAAUACAAACUCGACAAUGAUUCCAAAUAGCCAGAAAACGGCACUUUCGAGUUCUCCAUCCUACAAGUUCUAGAUAAUUCUUGUCAUAAAAUGGGCAAAUGGUCUGAGGUGCCUGACGUCCAGGCAUUCUUUUACACAUUGGUCCCUCCCUAGUCUCUGCUCCCAAUGUGACUCAUCCCAAAUCUUUCUUCUUUCUCUCCUUUCUGUUCCUUCGGUCUCCACCCCAAGUUCCGAGUCCUCUGAAUCCUUCUUUUCUAUGGACUCAUCUGACCUCCCCCCUUCUCCCCAGGCUGCUCCUCGCCAGGCUGAGCCAGGUCCCAAUUCUCACUUAGCCUCUGCUCCCCCACCCUAUAAUCCUUUUAUCACCUCCCCUCCUCACACCUGGUCCAGCUUACAGUUUCGUUCCUCGACUAGCUCUCCCCGAUCUGCCCAACAAUUUCCUGUUAAAGAGAUGGCUGACUAUCCUGACUUCAUCAGAGCAGGCUGGUGCCUGGCCUUCCUGGAAUGAGUGGGUGUUCUGACAGGCCCCCAGUUUGUCCCAUCUGCACCGCCAAGAGGUCUCCGGGUGGCCAGAGGAGCAAAGUUGCCUUCCAAGUGCCUGUUGGUGCCUGGGAGAACACAGCAGGAGUGUCGUGCGGCCCACAGCGCAGUGCAUGGUGAUUCCAGGCGCUGAACAACUCCCCUUGACCCUUGGGCCUGCAUCUGACUCCCGGCUGCAGAAUCAGAAGCUGAGUCCAGGCAACCGCUCGGCCACUCCCGGUCACUCCUCUCUGGACACCCAGUUACUAAAGUCAGCAAAGAAGAUGCGGUAAUCACCGCCUGAUCUCCACAUGGUGAACACAACACUCUCACUAACACCUCCUUGACCAGUCAGUCUUCAGCACUGGGGGUGGACAGGCAGGUUUUCUGUGUUUACCAGAAUCGCACAGGCUAAGCACAAACAUGGAACCAGAGUUCCAGGUGAGGAAACCUCACUCGCAGAAGCCCAGGCUGCACCCCACCAGGUGAUGCAGUGCGCCUAGGCUGUGGGUGCUAGGAGCCAAGUGCUAGGGACUCGUCAUGAGUGGGAAUCCCCACGUUCCUGUCACUGCUGUCAAACAGAAGGUAAACAGUCUUACGAAUGUAAUUCCUUAGGAAGACUUGUACAAACUUUUAUUAGGAUAUCUAUUUAUUUAAUACUGAACUUUGGCCUACUUUGUGAUAAGACUAUAAACAAAUUGAGGAAAUCACUAUUUCUCACUUCUGUAUUUCUCAAAAAAUAAUUUUGUUACAGAGUUCAAUAUACUGUGUACUACUGAUCUUCUAUUGUGAAAGCAAAGCAUUUCAUCAAAACAAAGUAUUUUAAAUUAUGAGUGAAAAUUGUGUAUGUUAAUUUUGCAGCUGUAAUAUUAAUCAAACUUUGUGUAAUUCUAAUCACAAAAUGAUGUGCCUUAAAUGCCCCUCCAGCUGUGGGUUGGCAGUGUCCAGACAGGGACCCUGAAAUCCUGAAUGACUGCUAGACCAAUUCUAUUAAAAACAUUUCAAGGCAAAAAAAAAAAAAAAAGAGGUGGCUGGAGCUGAAGGCGUAGUCAAGGUUAAUGCUCCUUUUUCUUCAUCUGACCUCUCCCAAUCAGUUAGCGUUUAGGCUGUUUUUCAUCAAAUAUAAAAACCCAGCCCAGUUCAUGGCCCAUUUGGCAACAACCCUUAGAUGCUUUACCGCCCUAGACCCAGAGGGGCCAGAAGGCCGUCUUAUUCUCAAUAUGCAUUUUAUUACCCAACCCGCUCCGGACAUUAGAAAAAGCUCCAAAAAUUAGAUUCCAGCCCUCAAACCCCACAACAGGACUUAAUUAACCUCACCUUCAAGGUGUACAGUAAUAGAGUAGAGGCAACAUAUUUCUGAGUUGCAAUUACUUGCCUCCACUGUGAGAGAAACCCCAGCCACAUCUCCAGCACACAAGAACUUCAAAACACCUGAAUCGCAGCGGCCAGGUGUUCCUCCAGGACCGCCUCCCCCAGGAUCUUUCUUCAAGUGCUGGAAAUCUGGUCACUGGGCCAAGGAAUGCCUGCAGCCUGGGAUUCCUCCUGAGCCAUGUCCCAUCUGUGCCAGACCCUACUGGAAAUCAGACUGUCCAACUUACCCAGGAGCCACUCCCAGAGCUGCUGGAACUCUGGCCCAAGACUCUCUGACUCCUUCCCAGAUGUUCUCGGCUUAGCGGCUGAAAACUGAUGCUGCCCAAUCGCCUCAGAAGCCUCUUGGACCAUCACAGAUGCUUUGGGUAACUCUUACAGUGAAGGGGAAGUCUGUCCCCUUCUUAAUACAGAGGCUACCCACUCCACAAUACCUUCUUUUCAAGGGCCUGUUUCCCUUGCCUCCAUAACUGUUGUGGGUAUUGAUGGCCAGGCUGCUAAACCUGUCAAAACUCCCCAACUCUGGUGCCAACUUGGACAACAUUCUUUUAUACACUCUUUUUUAGUUAUCCCUACCUGCCCAGCUCCCUUAUUAGGUCAAGACAUUUUAACCAAAUUAUCUGCUUCCCUGACUGUUCCUGGACUACAGCCACACCUCAUUGCCGCCCUUUUCCCCAGUUCAAAGCCUCCUUCGCAUCCUCCCCUUGUAUCUCCCCACCUUAAUCCACAAGUAUGGGACACCUCUAUUCCCUCCUUGGCAACCGAUCAUGCACCCCUUACCAUCCCAUUAAAACCUAAUCACCCUUACCCCACUCAAUGCCAAUAUCCCAUCCCACAGCACACUUUAAAAGGAUCCCACAGCACACUUUAAAAGGAUUAAAGCCUGUUAUCACUCGCCUGCUAUAGCAUGGCCUUCUAAAGCCUAUAAACUCUCCUUACAAUUCCCCCAUUUUACCUGUCCAAAAACCAGACAAGUCUUACAGGUUAGUUCAGGAUCUGUGCCUUAUCAACAAAAUUGUCUUGCCUAUGCACCCCAUAGUGCCAAACCCAUAUACCCUCCUAUCCUCAAUACCUCCCUCCCACAACCCAUUAUUCUGUUCUAAAUAAACCUAGCUGACCCCAUAAAUCCUAAAUCCUUUCCCCACUCCCCUUUCCAUUCCUUAAAAAACAGCCCUAAAAGCUGCUCCCACACUAGCUCUCCCUAACUCAUCCCAACUUUUUCAUUACACACAGCCAAAGUGCAGGGCUGUGUGGUCGGAAUUCUUACACAAGAGCCAGAAGCAUGCCCUGUAGCCUUUCUGUCCAAACAACUUGACCUUACUGUUUUAGCCUAGCCCUCAUGUCUGUGUGUGGUGGCUGCUGCUGCUUUGAUACUUUUAGAGGCCCUCAAAAUCACAUUAUGCUCAACUCACUCUCUACAGUUCUCAUAACUUCCAAAAUCUAUUUUCUUCCUCAUACCUGACGCAUAUACUUUCCACUCCCUGGCUCCUUCAGCUAUACUCAACUCUUUUUUGAGACAGAGUCUCACUCCGUCUCCCAGGCUGGCAUGCAGUGGCACAAUCUUGGCUCACUGCAACCUCCGCUUCCCAGGUUCCAGCGAUUCUCCUGCCUCAGCCUCUGGAGUAGCUGGGAUUACAGGUGUGUGCCCCACACCCGGCUAAUUUUUUGUAUUUUUAGUAGAGAUGGGGUUUCACCAUGUUAACCAAGCUGGUCUUGAACUCCUGACCUAAAGUGAUCUGCCCAUCUCGGCCUCCCAAAGUGCUGGGAUUACAGGCAUGAGCCACCACACCCAGCCUAUACUCACUCUUUGCUGAGUCUCCCACAAUUACCAUUGUUCCUGGCCUGGACUUCAAUCCGGCCUCCCACAUUAUUCCUGAUACCACACCUGACCUCCAUGACUAUCUCUCUGAUCCACCUGGCAUUCACUCCAUUUCCCCAUAUUUCCUUCUUUCCUGUUCCUCACCCUGAUCACACUUGGUUUAUUGAUGGCAGUUCCACCAGGCCUAAUCGCCAUUCACCGGCAAAGGCAGGCUAUGCUAUACUAUCUUCCACAUCUAUCCUUGAGGCUACCGCUCUGCCCCGCUCCACUACCUCUCAGCAAGCCAAACUCAUUGCCUUAACUCGGGCCCUCACUCUUGCAAAGGGACUACGUGUCAAUAUUUAUACUGACUCUAAAUAUGCCUUUCAUAUCCUCCACCACCAUGCUGUUAUAUGGGUUGAAAGAGGUUUCCUCACUAUGCAAGGGUCCUUCAUCAUUAGUGCCUCUUUAAUAAAAACUCUUCUCAAGGCUGCUUUACUUCCAAAGGAAGCUGGAGUCAUUCACUGCAAGGGCCAUCAAAAGGCAUCAGAUCCCAUCACUCAGGGCAACGCUUAUGCUGAUAAGGUAGCUAAAGAAGCAGCUAGCAUUCCAACUUCUGUCCCUCAGGGCCAGUUUUUCUCCUUCUUAUCGGUCACUCCCACCUACUCCCUCAUUGAAACUUCCACGUAUCAAUCUUUUCCCACACAAGGCAAAUGGUUCUUGGAUCAAGGAAAAUAUCUCCUUCCAGCCUCACAGGCCCAUUCUAUUCUGUCGUCAUUUCAUAACCUCUUCCGUGUAGGUUACAAGCCGCUAGCCCAUCUCUUAUAACCUCUCAUUUCAUUUCCAUCGUGAAAAUCUGUCCUGAAGAAAAUCACUUCUCAGUGUUCAUCUACUAUUCUACUAUCCCUCAGGGAUUGUUCAGGCCCCUUCCCUUCCCUACACAUCAAGCUGGGGAAUUUGCCCCUGCCCAGGACUGGCAAAUUGACUUUACUGACAUGUGCCGAGUCAGGAAACUAAAAUACCUCUUGGUAUGGGUAGACACUUUCACUGGAUGGGUACAGGCCUUUCCCACAGGGUGUGAGAAGGCCACCACGGUCAUUUCUUCCCUUCUGUCAGACAUAAUUCCUCCAUUUAGCCUUGCCACCUCUAUACAGUGUGAAAACAGACCGGCCUUUAUUAGUCAAAUCACCCAAGCAGCUUCUCAGCCUCUUGGUAUUUAGUGGCUCCUGGUUUUACCUCAAAACACCACCCUUAAGGCUCUCUUGAAGUGGAUAGAUCUUCAGUGGCAAGGUACCCUCCGAUACUUUCACCCUGAUGAAGUCCUAUUCUUUACUUUUAUACUCAUUCUUAUUCUGGUUCCCGAUCUUAUGCCACCCUCUACCUCUCCCCAGCUAUCUCCACCACACUAUCAAUCUCACUCUCUCCUAGCCCCGUUUAUAAUCCUUCUUUUUUUUUUGAGAUGGAGUCUUGCUCUGUCCCCCAGGCUGGAGUGCAGUGGUGUGAUCUUGGCUCACUGCAAGCUCCGCCUCCUGGGUUCACACCAUUCUCCUGCCUCAGCCUCCCAAGUAGCUGGGACUAGAGGUGCCUGCCACCAUGCCUGGCUAAUUUUUUGUAUUUUUAGUAGAGAUGGGGUUUCACCAUGUUAGCCAGGAUGGUCUCCAUCUCCUGACCUCACGAUCCGCCCACCUCAGCCUCCCAAAGUGCUGGGAUUACAGGCGUGAGCCACUAUGCCCGGCCCUCUAAUCCUUCUUUAACAAACAACUGCUGGCUUUGCAUUUCUCUUUCCUCCAAAAUCGCCAAGGCCUCGACUUACUCACUGCUAAAAAAAGAGGACCCUGUAUAUUUUUAAACGAAGAGUGUUGUUUUUACCUAAAUCAAUCUGGCCUGGUGUAUGACAACAUAAAAAAACUCAAGGAUAGACCCCAAAAAUUCGCCAACCAAGCAAAUAAUUAUGCUGAACCCCCUUGGGCACUCCCUAAUUGGAUGUCCUGGGUCCUUCCAAUUCUUAGUCCUUUAAUACCUAUUUUUCUCUUUCUCUUAUUCGGACCUUGUGUCUUCCUUCUGUUUAGUUUCUCAAUUCAUACAAAACUGCAUCCAGGCCAUCAACAAUCAUUCUAUACGACAAAUACUCCUUCUAACAAGCCCACAAUAUCACCCCUUAUACCCAAAUCUUUCUUCAGUUUAAUCUCUCCUACUCUAGGUUCCCAUGCCACCCCAAUCCCACUCAAAGCAGCCCCGAGAAACAUCGCCCAUUAUCUCUCCAUACCACCCCCAAAAAUUUUCGCUGCCUCAACACUUCACCACUAUUUUGUUUUGUUUUUCAUACUAAUAUAAGAAGAUAGGAGUGUCAGGCCUCUGAGUCCAAGCUAAGCCAUCAAAUCCCCUGUGACCUGCACGUGUACAUCCAGAUGACCUGAAGCAACUGAAGAUCCACAAAAGAAGUGAAAGUAGCCUUAACUGAUGACAUUCCACCAUUGUGAUUUGUUCCUGCCCCACGCUAACUGAUACCAUAUAUUCUUCCCCCGCCCUUGAGAAUGUACUUUGUACACCUAUCCCAAACCUAUAAGAACUAAUGAUAAUCCUACCACCCUUUGCUGACUCUCUUUUUGGACUCAGCCCGCCUGCACCCAGGUGAAAUAAACAGCCCUGUUGCUCACACAAAGCCUGUUUGGUGGUCUCUUCACAAGGACGUGCGUGACACUACACUUGUUGAGUUUUAGUGUAGUAUCAAAGAAGAAUAU
rnacentral:lncRNA from 1 species